GGAGGAGGAGGUUGAGAUUGUGGGGGGUGGGAUGUUUGUCCCAGAGUGGGGGGAGGUAAAGGUGGAGGUUGGCCACUUUCGAGGCAGUGAAGAACAGUGAGGAUCUCCAUUUUGGCCUGUUGCCGACUGUCCUUGUUUAAGCGGUGCAACAUUGGCACAAUGCUCAUCGCAAAAUGAUAUGCCUCGUCCAGCUCGUCAUCGGGUAUAUGGGGUUUUGGCACCGGCUGCUCCAGCAAAGACAUCAGCCGGUCCCCAAUGCCUGUGUCUAUCGGUCUUUGGCCUCUUCUGGUUUCCCUGGGGGCCUGCACAGCAACAGCCGGUCUUGAAAUAUUUCUGUCCCUGGGGCUCCGGGACCUAGAGGCAGACAGUGCUGAGGUUGAUGGAGCCGGAGAUGUCGAAGGCUGUUGCAAUGAAAUGCCAGGGGUGCUGGACCGACCCUCAGACCGGUCUGACUGAGGGGUACAUGGCUUCUGGAGAUCCACUAGUGAGUCUGGCAUAUAGCUACCGCCUGGGGCACACUACAGUCAGGAACUCAGUCCACAUGGUGUGUGCUGCCAUCGAAAAAACGAUGAUGGAGAGGUUCCUACCCAGGCCAACACAAGAGACAUGGGAGGAAGUGUCUCAAGGCUUCUGGGAGAAGUGGAAUUUUCCAAACUGCCUGGGAGCAAUAGAUGGGAAGCAUGUGACCAUCCAAGCCCCAGCACUGAGUGGGAGUCAGUAUUUUAAUUACAAGAAAACUUUCUCGAUAGUGCUUUUGGCACUUGUGGACUCGAACUACAGGUUCAGGGUCAUUCAAGUGGGGGACUUCGGAAGGACCAGUGAUGGCGGCGUAUAUGCUGGGUCAGCUCUCGGAACAGGAAUGGAGACCAAAACGUUUCAUGUCCCACCCAGUACCCAGUACCCAGUAACUCUGCCUGGCGCUGCUCACUUGGGUGAUGUGCCACAUGUCAUGGUGGGUGAUGCAGCCUUCCCACUGAAGCCAUACCUAAUGAGACCAUACCCCGGACAGAACCUCACUCACCAAAAGAGGAUAUUUAACUACAGACUUUCCAAGGGCAAGGAUGGUGGUUGAGAAUGCUUUUGGCAUUCUGUCCUCCAGGUGGAGAAUCUUGCAUCGCAGGAUCAACCUGCACCCACAAAAUGUGGACACCCUUGUUUUCGCUGCAUGCAUUCUCCAUAACUUCCUGCUUUUCCCGAGAGAGAAUGUGAGGUUGCUGGAGGAGGCAGAGCAACAGGGGAGAAACCUGCCAUCAGUACGCCACAUGGGAGGAAACAGAGCCUCGAGAGAGAGGCCUGUAAUGUGAGGGAGAUCUUCUACACCUAUUUCAACUCCCCACAAGGCAGUGUGUCUUGGCAGGACAGGAUGGUUUGAAAGUUUUGCCAAAAGUGUGGAAAAUGUCUAUAUUUGUAAAUAGAGGUUUUUUUAUCAUGCUCAUUACAGAUGAGAUAAUCUUUGAUGUAUUCUAAAAAUGUCAUCAUUCAUUGUAAAUAAAACAUUUGAAAAU